UGGACCUUAUAUAAAAAAACAUCAUAACUGACUUUUAAGAAAGAGCGUCAGGAUAUUUACUAGUCUAUGGUACCUUUACAAUGCUGGGGAUGAAAAAAAAAUGACAACACAAAAAGGGCAUGAUUCCACACACAGGCAAUGGUGAUUAUGUUAUGUGGCUCAUCUUUCUGCUUACACUGAUAUCUGCUGGAGGGCAGACCUGACUGAAACCCACAAGAAUCAUCAGGUGUUCAAGGAUAUGAACAGCAGAAAAGUAUUUGCUAUGAGAGUAGCUGUCCUACGUUUGUUUUGUCUUUCCUGCAGGAUUUAUUUUUUAAGUGAUUUAUUUUCAAUUUUGGCUUAUACAUCUAAUUGUAACUGGAAAAUUCCAGCUCAAAAAUUUACAUAUGCUUAGUGCUUUUAUGGCUUUCCCCAUAAGACAUUCUGUGGUGUAAGAGGCAGAGGAAAAAAAAAAUGAUUCCAAUUACUGAAGGUUUUUAUUUUUAUGGCACAGAUCUGCUCCCUGUUAAACAUCAUGGUAUCAAACUGCCAUGACAUGAAAUCUCUCCUUUUUUUUUUUUUUUUUUUUUUUUCCCCAGACUGUCGAUUAACUGAGGCCACAUUUUGCAGUGGGAAGGAUGCUGUUGCUGCUUGCCUACCCGUAGCCCUAAGGAAACAUGAGGAGGAAAUCAGUCCCACCCAAGCCCCGCUGCCAAGUGUUUGUACAGGUGUCACUAAUUAGGGCAGAAUUUGGCCUGCAAAAAACAUCCAGCCACAGAUACUGGAGAAAACUGCCAAUUUGGUUUGGGGGGGGAAAUCUCUCAGACAAGUUUGCAGAAGGGCUUAGUGUGGUCAUAGCGUAACAAACUGAUUUUUUUUUUUUUGUUUUGGUUUGUUUGUUUUUUGUGAAUUGAGUAUCCUUGGUCUGUGUACUGAAUCUGACUGGGAGAGAGUUAAUCAUCUUCAUAGCAGCCCAUAUAGUAGUGUGUUUUGGAAGCAGCACAUCAUGGAGCUGUAUGUCACAGCCAUCCUACCUGUGUGUGGGCUUUUCUUCUCCACAACACCCCAAGGGAAUAGAUGAGGGCACUGGCUCAUUUGCAGCAACUUCUCAUGAACAGCAAGGAACAGCCACGUGGAGUGGCACAGAGUGAUAGAACUGGUGUGAACCCUCUCCUGCUUGCUCUCUGUCAAGAAAAGAAAAUGAAGACACCCAGCAAACAUGUACCCAGGAUUCUCUAGAUGAAAAGAACUCAAAAUAAGUGGCAGUGCCUCGGAUGUGCUGUGUAUAAGCACAAGGACAGUUACUUCAGCAUGGAUGGCACAGAGCAACUCAAAGAACAAUAAUACAUUGCAGUUUGCAGUCAGUAAUAGCUCUCCAUAGCUGAAAUCCUCAUUUGCAAUGAGAGCCUUCUCUAAGGUUUUAAUGAGAGAGUAGCUCUCAA